rnacentral:rRNA from 1 species
GUAGGGGGCGAGCGUUAUCCGGAUUUACUGGGUGUAAAGGGAGCGUAGACGGCAAUGCAAGUCUGAAGUGAAACCCCAAGGCUCAACCAUGGGCAUGCUUUGGAAACUGUGUAGCUAGAGUGCAGGAGAGGCAGGCGGAAUUCCUAGUGUAGCGGUGAAAUGCGUAGAUAUUAGGAGGAACACCAGUGGCGAAGGCGGCCUGCUGGACUGAAACUGACGUUGAGGCUCGAAGGCGUGGGGAGCAAA